AAAAUUCUUGCCUACGGAGACCACAUGUUUCUUGUGUUAAUUCACUCGGCUUGACCCCCUGUAUUAGCCCUAUAAUUUUAGGUACUGAGACCUGAGACACCCUGUAUAGUUCGUUAUCAGAGUAUCAUAUAGCUUACGUCAUUUCAUAAUACAGCUUUUGUGUGAUUACGAUAAACUCUAAGAUAAUAUCAGAUACGCAUCAAAUUUCACCCAAGUGUCAGCACGUCGAGUGCCACGUUAUUUUAUGAGAAAAUCACCCUCCAGGCCACGCGCGCUGCUCAGCGUUGCGAACCGCAUCAUUAGCAAAUUCAAAUUUUUACGAUGCGGCUGUUCAAACGCGUUAUUAGGGCCAUUAUUGCUUAUCAUAGUGGAAGAUCUAUCUACAAUUUCGAACGAGAUGUGUGUCUAGUCUGGUAUUUCAAGUUGUUCAAAUAUACCGGUAACAUCAAUCGCUUGCUGGAUGAAAAUUGUGCGGAAUUUGAAUAAAUCCAAGUGGUACGGAAGCAGCAGGUUUUAUAUACCUACACGCAAACGCAUCCGAGACCGCCCCUGUUCUCGUUGUCAGCACUAAAUGAACCAUCAGGGUCGCCAUAAAUCGUGUGGCUAUCAGAUCUGUGCUCUGGACCGGACUCCUCUAUACCCUCGAUAUAAUGAGGGACCACCGCCCAGUGUAAUGGAAGCACUCUCUUCGACGGCGUCCGCAGAUGUCCGGUAGAUUGACCCCGUCCUUCGCCCUCUGUGUCGUGAUGCCGAAGAAAAUUGCACUGCCUCCUGCUAACACUAAAGCUAAGUACGGAUAACGGUGUGCAAGUCCGACGGUGAGGAGCAAAGAUGACAUCGGUUUUGUACAAGAGAAGCGUUACACUUACAUUUCAGUUAGUCUUGCGGCUGAGCAGUGAGCUGGAUGUGAAAUCAGUAUGCCACGACGCGGCGCCUAUCGCUUCACCUCUCUGGCUAAUUAACUCUCAGAUUCAUUAUCGACACCUCAGCGGACUCGGGGAUUGUCUUAAUUUAAGACUCAACCUUUCAAGUCGCGGCAUACGUCACACCUCGUCCUGAGGUUUUCAAGGUGGAUUGUCGUUAAUGCGACGUAUUCCCACGCGGAAUAACGUUAUCCAUGAUCCUUUCGCGGUCUUCGGCGUUACGGGCUAUCGCAACUAAUAAUGUAUAGAGCCGAGCGCAUAAGUAUAUUAUAAAUUCUUCUACUUAGUUUGAUACGAUAUGGUGGUAUAGAGGGAAGAAUAGAAAAAAUAAAUAAAUAAACAUAAGUAUUGAAAGAAAAGAUGUAUGUACGUAGUCGCAUGUGAAAGCAGCUGUCAGUGUACACGCCGUUCGUUCCGUAAGUAUCCAACAAUUUUGCAUCUCGCUAGCUAUUGAGAUGCAAAUUGAAAAUGUAUCCUCUGGGUGCAAACGGCAAAUGAACGCAGGAGAAACGAUACCGUUUAUUGGCCGUAGGGAAUUAGUUUUGCAUAUGCAUCCGUGCCCUGCAUUAAAUUAGUUGCGCUUAAAUGCAAAUCGAUCGGCUAAUCGAUGCUUUCAACGCUAAGCGUCAGAGAUUCAAGUUACUGAGCUUUAUCAAUUUUAGUUGAUGUCUUUAAAUAUUUUCCAACUGUUAUGAACUCCUCCCCCCACCCCGUCGAUACAAGCCGGUAAAACAGAUUUUCCGACACAAUUGCAAAUGGAUCCGUACGCCAACGUGUCAAUGGAUCAUCGGUGACCUAGGGAUGAUUAUUGAUACCGCAAAGAUCUAUGCUGCACCCCCGCGCUGGACCUGUGUGCUCAAUUGAAAAGAAAAAAAUGUUUUGAAACGUGAUAUCGCUUGUAUUACGUUUAGACUCGUUGGUACCCACUUUUUUUUCAAUUGUACCUCGACCGAAAAAAAAGAUAAAGUCGUUUUUUGGUUUUUGAGGACCUAACUUUUCUGUUUUUACGGAUAAUAGAAAAAAUUUAGGAUGGGACGCAUUAUAAGUAGCACAACAAUAAAGAAAUUAUGCUGCAGCUGCUUUUUCCCGAAACUUCAUUCAUUCUGCAGAAUACAAAUGAUAAAUAAUGAAAAGUCACGAGACAUAAAAUACAAAUGAAAAAAAGUGGUACCAAAGGGUACAAAGGAUUCAGAAGCGAUUACUAUUGGAAAAUACAAAAUUUUCAAAAGUCGGGUGGGGGUCAUUUUUUCAAAACGCUAUUUAUUUUUCCCCCCGCGGUACGAACAAAAAACAAGGUGGUACAAACGAGUACAAAAAAAAUAUAAGUGAUAUCACAUUCUAAAACAUUUUUUUUCGAAUAUCGGGUGCGAGAUUCACAUAGAUGCGCCCUGGGCACACUGAAUCCUAUUCGAUCGUGACUGAUAACGCAACCGGUAGUUCCUCGAGGUGUCUGCCGAUUAUCCGCGUCACCACUCAUUCUUGAAGAUUGAAGAAGAAUUGAUAUUUAUCACGUCAAAUAUUCCGGAAGAUGCUUUGGAGUGGGAACGAUAUUUGUUCGGCUUCAAUUACAUACUCACAUCAGUAUUAUUUCGUAGCCCCGCUAACGAGAAAGGAAUUCGGCAAUUAGUGCCUCAUGCAAAAACACGCGGGAAGAGAUCGCCGUCAAAGUGGAUCUGGGAGUUGGUAGAGGAAUCCUUGGUCGGUCAUUGUUCGGUAUCCAGCGAGCAACGAGCCAUGGGAAAUACCUUUGCCUUGCUACUUCGGAGCCGCCUCAGUAGCAUUUUAUAGCUCGUCUUCCCUGAUUUGUUUGAAGGCUCAACGAGAUGCUUCUCACCGAUCGGUCUCCUCUGAUCGU